UCUUCUUUUUAAGUUAAAAUGAAAAUUACCUAUUUUUUUAAUAAUUUUUUUUACUAAGUUAUGUUCUUGUAAACGUAUUUUUUUUCUUGCCGAACCACCAAAAAAAAGAGAAAACUUAAAGAAUGAUUAUCUUAAGUAUAGUUCAAGUAAUGAUUGUACAAAUAAUUUGUCGGACCAAGAAAUACAGAAUAUUCUUUUUUUAAUUGUUAAAUUUGCAUUUGAGUUUUGAAAAUUUCCAUGGCUCUUUGCCGGUCUAUUUUAAAAUAUAUUUUACGAAAGAAUUGCAAUGAAGUUUAAAAGAUACUAUCUGACACACCAUUGAGUCACGCAUGUAUUCUCGUAUCCUUUUGGUUUUGAGAUGACCUGACUCAAAACACAUACGCUGGAGUGAUAUUCCUAGCACUGCGCGUGAAAACUUCAUUUGCCGGGAAGAAUGUCCCUGCGGCGUGGCGCAAACUGGUGGCGCUCCUUGGAACCACGUAGGCGGAGAUCCGGCCGGCAGCCGCUGUAAUGAGGGAGGGGGGAGGGAGAAGAAUGGAGUGUAAAAGGGACAGAAUAACGGGGGUAGAGGGAGGCAGGCUGAGGCGGGCGAUGACACCGCGUCUCACUGUCAGACAAGGCUACGCUCUGUAGUGGAUGGAGGCUAUUGUCGCUCAAGCAAGGAAUAGGUUUUCGUGGAGAAAAAUUCGUGUAGCGAAAUUAUUUUUAAUUGUUACAUUUUUGAUAGAAGUUAAAUACCAACACGAUGCCGAAAAAGACACCAUUCAGCAAGAUCCGUAAAAGAACUAAACGGUCGAAGUGCAUAAGAAGACUGAAGGAAAAAUACAAAGAAUUUGUUAAUGCUGGUUUCAACUCUGUGGAAAGGUAAGAUUGCAAACUUUUGAGUGUGUUCAUCUUCACUAAAAUUCUGCCAGCACAACAUGUAUGUAUUAUAAAAUCACAUUUUUAGCUGUGCAAAAGUGCUAAUAUUAUUAAUUAAUUCCACAGGACAUCUUCCAGUUUAACAGAUUAUGCUCCUGCUGCUGCUACACAGAUGGAAACGUCUGCCUACGUACCACCUGUAUGCCAGGGCGAUCACGACACCACCAGCGGUAACGUCCAAAAUAUAACCGACGAGGAUAUUUCUGGAUUGGAUUGCUCAUUCUUGCCAAGUGAAGAAGUAUCGAAUGUUGAAAUUCUUCCAAAUGAAACUGCUGAAACUGUGACAAUGAAAGAAAAAAUCGUUCAAGGACGUCGUUUUGUAAAUAUGAGUCACAUGUUAAACCAACUCACAUCUUUAGCUACUCAUGUGCUACAGUGCACAACAGGUCGCUUUGAACUUCAGUCCGAAAAAAGAAUUGGCAUUGUCAGCUACUUCACUUAUAAAUGCAUGAUGUGUGAAAAAACAAGGAUAAUUUCAACGGAAAAAGAAGAAGAGGAAUUAAAUGAUUUAUUUGUGUGGGGAUCAUUAUCAGUUGGGAUUGGACACCAACAAGUAGAAGAAAUGAUGGCAGUAAUGGAAGUCCCUGUAAUGAGUAAACGGAAAUGGACGAGACAUGAACAGCGAGUUGAAAAGGCAUGGGAAGACAAACUGGAAAAAUACAUGCUUGCUAAUGGAGUCCAAGAACGUGAAAUCGCUCUAAAGAAGGGCAACAUAGAUGAAGAUGGAAUCCCUUACAUUACAGUCUAUCAAGAUGGCGGUUGGUGUACAAGAUCAUACGGCCAUGGUUUUACUGCAAAAUCAGGAGUUGUAAGUAUUUGUUAGAAUUUUUAUAUAUAUUGUUAGUGUUUAUUUGUAAUGGCUUAUAAUGUUUCUGCCAAAAUUAUGCAAGUAAAGUUUCGUAGGAAAUAAAUCUAACUAAUUUCAAUGUGUUUACUACCCAGAACUCGAAUCCACAUACUUUAAAACAAUAAAACAAUUUCAAAUACCCAUUUAUACGCCUG